GGCCUAACACAUGCAAGACGAACGCUCUAGCAAUAGAGAGUGGCAGACGGGUGAGUAACGCGUGGGAAUCUUCCUAUCGGUACGGAAUAGCUCAGGGAAACUUGGGGUAAUACCGCAUACGCCCUUCGGGGGAAAGAUUUAUCGCCGAUAGAUGAGCCCGCGUCUGAUUAGCUAGUUGGUGAGGUAACGGCUCACCAAGGCGACGAUCAGUAGCUGGUCUGAGAGGAUGACCAGCCACACUGGGACUGAGACACGGCCCAGACUCCUACGGGAGGCAGCAGUGGGGAAUAUUGGACAAUGGGCGCAAGCCUGAUCCAGCCAUACCGCGUGUGUGAAGAAGGCCUUUUGGUUGUAAAGCUC
rnacentral:rRNA from 1 species